rnacentral:rRNA from 1 species
ACGCUGGCGGCAGGCCUAACACAUGCAAGUCGAGCGCUACCUUCGGGUGGAGCGGCGGACGGGUUAGUAACGCGUGGGAACGUACCCAGAUCUAAGGAAUAGCCACUGGAAACGGUGAGUAAUACCGUAUACGCCCUGUGGGGGAAAGGUCCGCCGCAGAAUGAGGGGUCCGCGUCCGAUUAGCUUGUUGGUAAGGUAAUGGCUUACCAAGGCGACGAUCGGUAGCUGGUCUGAGAGGAUGAUCAGCCACACUGGGACUGAGACACGGCCCAGACUCCUACGGGAGGCAGCAGUGGGGAAUAUUGGACAAUGGGGGCAACCCUGAUCCAGCAAUGCCGCGUGUGUGAUGAAGGCCUUAGGGUUGUAAAACACUUUCAAUGGUGAAGAUGAUGACGGUAACCAUAGAAGAAGCCCCGGCUAACUUCGUGCCAGCAGCCGCGGUAAUACGAAGGGGGCGAGCGUUGUUCGGAAUUACUGGGCGUAAAGGGCGCGCAGGCGGCCAAUCCAGUCAGGUGUGAAAGCCCCGAGCUCAACUUUGGAACUGCACUUGAUACUGAUUGGCUAAAAAA